rnacentral:rRNA from 1 species
ACCAGCCAUUGUCUUGGGCGCAGCCUGAUGCAGCCAUGCCGCGUGUGUGAUGAAGGCCUUCGGGUUGUAAAGCACUUUCAGUCGUGAGGAAGGUGGUGUAGUUAAUAGCUGCAUUAUUUGACGUUAGCGACAGAAGAAGCACCGGCUAACUCCGUGCCAGCAGCCGCGGUAAUA